AGUGAACGCUGGCGGUAGGCCUAACACAUGCAAGUCGAACGGCAGCACAGUAAGAGCUUGCUCUUACGGGUGGCGAGUGGCGGACGGGUGAGGAAUACAUCGGAAUCUACUUUUUCGUGGGGGAUAACGUAGGGAAACUUACGCUAAUACCGCAUACGACCUACGGGUGAAAGCAGGGGAUCUUCGGACCUUGCGCGAUUGAAUGAGCCGAUGUCGGAUUAGCUUGUUGGCGGGGUAAAGGCCCACCAAGGCGACGAUCCGUAGCUGGUCUGAGAGGAUGAUCAGCCACACUGGAACUGAGACACGGUCCAGACUCCUACGGGAGGCAGCAGUGGGGAAUAUUGGACAAUGGGCGCAAGCCUGAUCCAGCCAUACCGCGUGGGUGAAGAAGGCCUUCGGGUUGUAAAGCCCUUUUGUUGGGAAAGAAAAGCAGCAGGUUAAUACCCCGCUGUUCUGACGGUACCCAAAGAAUAAGCACCGGCUGACUUCGUG
rnacentral:rRNA from 1 species